rnacentral:misc_RNA from 1 species
CUGAGCUCUGCCAAUCUUCUGAAUCUUUUAAGAAGGCUUAGAAGCCUCACCUCUGCAUGCCAAGACCACUACCCAAACUCCCUUUCUUCUUGUAGUUGACUUCAUUGAUUUUAUAUUUAUACAUUGAUAGCCAUGUUUUCCACAAUGGAAUCCAUCGCCCAGGCUGCUUCAAACUCUCUUUUCAUCUUCUGCUUUUGCAAUUUAAUCCUAUUCAUCAUCCUCGUCACAGCCUCCAAACCCGCCUCCUGCUGACAUCAAAAGAACCAAGUUCCUUUAUUGACUGUCACAAAUGCAAAUAUGAAUGUGAAACAAGCGAAUACCACCAAGCAUUUUCCGGAUGUCAGCAAAGUGUCAAAUGCUGCAGAAGCACAAAUUCAAGAAAAUGCCAAUGAUGACCACAGCAGGGACAAUAAUGAAGAUGAUGAAUUUAGGAGAAAAGUUGAAGAAUUCAUUGACAAAGUUAACAGAGGAUGGAAGGCAGAACUUCUGAGGAAAUCAAAGAGUCUAGAAAAUAAUUUGCAGCAACUAGAAUUGUAAAUUUGCCAUUGUUUGUAACCCAACCAUAGCUCACAAGGAAGGAAGAGAGCGCCUGAAAUAGAGAUUUGAGAUAUUGUUGCUGCUUUGCAACGAGACUGGAGAGGCAUUCUUGAUUUGUACCGAUAAAAUUCUAAUUGAUAAUUUCAGAUCCAUUUCAAGAAUUUCUUUCAAAACACUCUGACAACUGAAUGUACUAUCAGCGGUGAGGUCUAUGGUUUUCUGCUUUGUUUUUUCGUCGUUCUAUCGUUGCCCAUCUCAUUGGCAAGUUAUUCAAUAGUGG